GUUCACAUCAAUGUCGGUGAAAGAAGACUAAGCUACAGGUGAAGCUACACGUGGAGCUACAGGUGAAGACAUGUAUAGCUUCAGUUGAAGUUACAGACUGCUGCGUUGCUUUACCCACAUGAAGUGGUUUUCCUGCUAAACCGAUCGUAAAGGAACCGUCCACCGCAGCCACGAGGAGAAGACGUCGACGACUCCCCCUGCUGCGUUUGUGGACUUCGGGAAAGAUGGGCGCUCCAUGGUUAGAAUAAUUACCACCGGUUUCACAGGCCUAGUAUUUGUAUUUGGGGAAAUGACUGAGCUGGAACAGGUGGAAGAAGGCUGUCCUACAGACUUGUUUUAUGUUCGAGUCAAAGGUUAUACGAUCCAAG